rnacentral:rRNA from 1 species
UACGUAGGGUGCAAGCGUUGACCGGAAUUAUUGGGCGUAAAGAGCUCGUAGGCGGUUCGUCCCGUCGGCUGUGAAAUCCCGAGGCUCAACCUCGGGUCUGCAGUCGAUACGGGCGGACUUGAGUACUGCAGGGGAGACUGGAAUUCCUGGUGUAGCGGUGAAAUGCGCAGAUAUCAGGAGGAACACCGGUGGCGAAGGCGGGUCUCUGGGCAGUAACUGACGCUGAGGAGCGAAAGCGUGGGGAGCGAACAGG